CCUACGGGUGGCAGCAGUGGGGAAUAUUGCACAAUGGGCGAAACCCUGAUGCAGCCACGCCGCGUGUAGGAUGAAGGCCUUCGGUUUGUAAAGUCCUUUCAGCAGGGAAGAAAAUGACGGUAUCUGACCAUUAAGCCAUGGCCAACUCCGUGCCAGCAGCCGCGGUAAUACGGAGGGUGCAAGCGUUAUUCGGAAUGACUGGGCGUAAAGGGCGCGUAGGCGGGUUGGCAAGUCAGAUGUGAAAGCCUAGGGCUCAACCCGAGAACUGCAUUUGAUACUGUCAUUCUAGAGUAUCGGAGAGGUAGGCGGAAUUCCUGGUGUAGCGGUGAAAUGCGUAGAGAUCAGGAGGAAUACCGAUGGCGAAGGCGGCCUGCUAGACGAUGACUGACGUUGAGGCGCGAAAGCGUGGGGAGCAAACAGGAUUAGAUACCCGUGUAGUC
rnacentral:rRNA from 1 species